AUUGAACGCUGGCGGCAGGCCUAACACAUGCAAGUCGAACGGUAACAGGAAGAGGCUUGCUUCUUUGCUGACGAGUGGCGGACGGGUGAGUAAUGUCUGGGAAACUGCCUGAUGGAGGGGGAUAACUACUGGAAACGGUAGCUAAUACCGCAUAACGUCGCAAGACCAAAGAGGGGGACCUUCGGGCCUCUUGCCAUCGGAUGUGCCCAGAUGGGAUUAGCUAGUAGGUGGGGUAACGGCUCACCUAGGCGACGAUCCCUAGCUGGUCUGAGAGGAUGACCAGCCCCACUGGAACUGAGACACGGUCCAGACUCCUACGGGAGGCAGCAGUGGGGAAUAUUGCACAAUGGGCGCAAGCCUGAUGCAGCCAUGCCGCGUGUAUGAAGAAGGCCUUCGGGUUGUAAAGUACUUUCAGCGGGGAGGAAGGGAGUAAAGUUAAUACCUUUGCUCAUUGACGUUACCCGCAGAAGAAGCACCGGCUAACUCCGUG
rnacentral:rRNA from 1 species